AAGCAUUUCUUACGUGAGAAGCUUGCAGGCUUUGGAAAUUCAAGGUGACGGGACUUGUAUAAUGUCAACGCUCUUUCUAUAUCGGGUUUUUGUAACGAUUUCGAGGUUUUUUUUAAAGGAAGUGAAUCAGUUUUUUUUUUUUCACUCGAAAGUGACGCUGAUGAACUUUCAAUAGACGCUGGCGUGCUCACGUGUUCUUUUCCCGUGGACGAUUUUUGAAUUAUAUAAUCCGUGUUUUUAUCUAAUAGGUUUUUUGUAUUUUCCAACAAAGGAGUUAUAACAGACAUAAGAGUGUUCUGAACUAGCAAUCAUUCAUCUUUAUUUUGUUUGCGCUAAAACAGUUAUAAGACAUUACUUGGUGGAGUUUUAGAUUUCAAAGAGUGUAAUGAUCCAUAAUUUAAUUUUAUAUAAAAAGCAACCGUAAGAUUGGUUACUACUUUUUUAUUUUUUGGCUGUGACGAAUCUUUUGCAUCCAAACAAAUCUGUUAUUAAAGAAAACAAUAUUGUUUAUGAAGCGUUCUGCGUGUUGGCAAAGGUAUCCGUUCAACGCGAUUCACAGCCACUUCUAAGAAUCAAGACAAAAAAGCAUAAGGGCAACACUUCUACAAAUUAUUUGUAUGGCGAACGACGGCAUUAAAGAUAAAUUUUACCGUUUUUUUUUAGUGGUACACAAAGGCUUACCAGCAGGGCUAGGACGAGAAUACGUUCCAAAACGGCAGAUUUGUCGUAAGCGUGAUGUUUCGUCAGAAUAGAGAUCCCUUUGAAAACGCAAUUCAUCUAAUUCGUGUUGUUGAUACCUUGUGAAAAACGUAGAAUGAUACAAAUCAUAACCUGUUUUAAAUUGAAAAAAAAAAGGUGAAGCAUCAAAAAUGAAUUUCCUUACAACGGAUCUCUAUUUGUAAACAAUGCAUCACGUUAUUUGGUGUUCCCUACCUCUGGCUUCAAUGAGACUUGUUUCAUAAGUUAAAGUACAAUCAUCAAUUUUCCGUUGAAGAUGCCUUUCCGUUUGUUGAAUACGGCGGCAAUCCUCUUCAAAUUCUAACAGUCUUAAGUCUAGUCCCUAAGGUAUUUAAAUCCAUUCAAUUUAAAUUUUUGUUGAAAUUUUUACUCGUUUGAUAAAUAUCCAUUUUUCGUCUGGAGGUACGCGAAAUGUUCCAUCUUUUUCAACAAAAGGUUCCAUGGCUGUUGCAAACGCUUUUUGAUCAUUCUACCGUGUAACUUUACAUAAGAAUAUCAUCUUAAUGACAGGGUACCAUAAGAAGUGUAUGAGUGGAUGCUAAUUCAGCCAAUUGUUGCUGAUACUAUAAACGAAAAAUUAGUGCAUGACGUUUUUUAAAAAGUGUACCAAAUCGGUAAGUUGCAUAAUUUCAUGAUUUGAUUGCGCCCAUCGAGGAAGAGGUUCUUCAAUUGCUUGAUGAUUAUAUCUGUUAGUCAAUGAGAAUGAUGUGACGAGUCAUAUGCAAGUUGUUGAUAGUACUCAUUUUGAGAAGUAUGACUGUAUGGAUUCCAUCCAAACACCUCUGUGGGUAAAGAAUCUGCUUGUCCAUCUUUAUAAGAAGAUUUAUCCAUUGUUUAUUUUUAAAAGUUUUUAAAAUCA